CGAACGGAAAGGCCCUGCUUGCAGGGUACUCGAGUGGCGAACGGGUGAGUAACACGUGGGUGAUCUGCCCUGCACUUCGGGAUAAGCCUGGGAAACUGGGUCUAAUACCGGAUAGGAGCCAUUUUUAGUGUGAUGGUUGGAAAGUUUUUUCGGUGUAGGAUGAGCUCGCGGCCUAUCAGCUUGUUGGUGGGGUAAUGGCCUACCAAGGCGGCGACGGGUAGCCGGCCUGAGAGGGUGGACGGCCACAUUGGGACUGAGAUACGGCCCAGACUCCUACGGGAGGCAGCAGUGGGGAAUAUUGCACAAUGGGCGCAAGCCUGAUGCAGCGACGCCGCGUGGGGGAUGACGGCCUUCGGGUUGUAAACUCCUUUCGCUAGGGACGAAGCUUUUUGUGACGGUACCUAGAUAAGAAGCACCGGCUAACUACGUGCCAGCAGCCGCGGUAAUACGUAGGGUGCGAGCGUUGUCCGGAAUUACUGGGCGUAAAGGGCUCGUAGGUGGUUUGUCGCGUCGUCUGUGAAAUUCCGGGGCUUAACUCCGGGCGUGCAGGCGAUACGGGCAUAACUUGAGUACUGUAGGGGUAACUGGAAUUCCUGGUGUAGCGGUGAAAUGCGCAGAUAUCAGGAGGACACCGAUGGCGAAGGCAGGUUACUGGGCAGUUACUGACGCUGAGGAGCGAAAGCAUGGGUAGCGAACAGGA
rnacentral:rRNA from 1 species